UUUAUGGAGAGUUUGAUCCUGGCUCAGAGUGAACGCUGGCGGCGUGCCUAAUACAUGCAAGUCGAACGAUGAAGCUUCUAGCUUGCUAGAAUGCUGAUUAGUGGCGCACGGGUGAGUAACGCAUAGGUCAUGUGCCUCUUAGUUUGGGAUAGCCAUUGGAAACGAUGAUUAAUACCAGAUACUCCCUACGGGGGAAAGAUUUAUCGCUAAGAGAUCAGCCUAUGUCCUAUCAGCUUGUUGGUAAGGUAAUGGCUUACCAAGGCUAUGACGGGUAUCCGGCCUGAGAGGGUGAACGGACACACUGGAACUGAGACACGGUCCAGACUCCUACGGGAGGCAGCAGUAGGGAAUAUUGCUCAAUGGGGGAAACCCUGAAGCAGCAACGCCGCGUGGAGGAUGAAGGUUUUAGGAUUGUAAACUCCUUUUGUUAGAGAAGAUAAUGACGGUAUCUAACGAAUAAGCACCGGCUAACUCCGUGCCAGCAGCCGCGGUAAUACGGAGGGUGCAAGCGUUACUCGGAAUCACUGGGCGUAAAGAGCGCGUAGGCGGGAUAGUCAGUCAGGUGUGAAAUCCUAUGGCUUAACCAUAGAACUGCAUUUGAAACUACUAUUCUAGAGUGUGGGAGAGGUAGGUGGAAUUCUUGGUGUAGGGGUAAAAUCCGUAGAGAUCAAGAGGAAUACUCAUUGCGAAGGCGACCUGCUGGAACAUUACUGACGCUGAUUGCGCGAAAGCGUGGGGAGCAAACAGGAUUAGAUACCCUGGUAGUCCACGCCCUAAACGAUGGAUGCUAGUUGUUGGAGGGCUUAGUCUCUCCAGUAAUGCAGCUAACGCAUUAAGCAUCCCGCCUGGGGAGUACGGUCGCAAGAUUAAAACUCAAAGGAAUAGACGGGGACCCGCACAAGCGGUGGAGCAUGUGGUUUAAUUCGAAGAUACACGAAGAACCUUACCUAGGCUUGACAUUGAGAGAAUCCGCUAGAAAUAGUGGAGUGUCUGGCUUGCCAGACCUUGAAAACAGGUGCUGCACGGCUGUCGUCAGCUCGUGUCGUGAGAUGUUGGGUUAAGUCCCGCAACGAGCGCAACCCCCUUUCUUAGUUGCUAACAGGUCAUGCUGAGAACUCUAAGGAUACUGUCUCCGUAAGGAGGAGGAAGGUGGGGACGACGUCAAGUCAUCAUGGCCCUUACGCCUAGGGCUACACACGUGCUACAAUGGGGUGCACAAAGAGAAGCAAUACUGCGAAGUGGAGCCAAUCUUCAAAACACCUCUCAGUUCGGAUUGUAGGCUGCAACUCGCCUGCAUGAAGCUGGAAUCGCUAGUAAUCGCAAAUCAGCCAUGUUGCGGUGAAUACGUUCCCGGGUCUUGUACUCACCGCCCGUCACACCAUGGGAGUUGUGUUUGCCUUAAGUCAGGAUGCUAAAUUGGCUACUGCCCACGGCACACACAGCGACUGGGGUGAAGUCGUAACAAGGUAACCGUAGGUGAACCUGCGGUUGGAUCACCUCCUUUCUAGA
rnacentral:rRNA from 1 species